rnacentral:rRNA from 1 species
ACGCUCGACACCUACAGGAGGCAGCAGUGGGGAAUAUUGCACAAUGGGGGAAACCCUGAUGCAGCGACGCCGCGUGGAGGAAGAAGGUCUUCGGAUUGUAAACUCCUGUUGUUGGGGAAAAAGAGGAUGGUACCCAACAAGGAAGUGACGGCUAACUACGUGCCAGCAGCCACGGUAAUCUGAGCGGGCUGGCAAGGC